CUUUUCGAGUUCGGCGCCGGGGAUGAUGCCCUGGUAGGCCGCGCGCCACGCCUCAUCGUGCGUCGCAGCGACUGCUGACGCAUCGGAGGCCUUGGCUGGCCGCACUUCGAUAAGGAUCGUGCUCAUGGUGUAAUCAAAGCAACUCGCGGCCUCGCCUUCAAGGUCCAUCGUUAAUUAUCGGUUAAUAUGUGAGCUUUUUGCAUCAGGUCCAAGGCGGGUUGUGCCGAAAGAGGACAGUCAAACGGGUUAUGGCGCUUGGC
rnacentral:misc_RNA from 1 species